rnacentral:rRNA from 1 species
AGCGAACGCUGGCGGCAGGCCUAACACAUGCAAGUCGAACGAACUCUUCGGAGUUAGUGGCGGACGGGUGAGUAACACGUGGGAACGUGCCUUUAGGUUCGGAAUAACUCAGGGAAACUUGUGCUAAUACCGAAUGUGCCCUUCGGGGGAAAGAUUUAUCGCCUUUAGAGCGGCCCGCGUCUGAUUAGCUAGUUGGUGAGGUAAAGGCUCACCAAGGCGACGAUCAGUAGCUGGUCUGAGAGGAUGAUCAGCGACAUUGGGACUGAGACCCGGCCCAAACUCCUACGGGAGGCAGCAGUGGGGAAUCGUGCGCAAUGGGGGAAAGGCUGACGCAGCCAUGCCGCGUGAAUGAUGAAGGUCUUAGGAUUGUAAAAUUCUUUCACCGGGGACGAUAAUGACGGUACCCGGAGAAGAAGCCCCGGCUAACUUCGUG